CUCAACGGCGGUUACGACGGGCCACAACAACCACACCUCAACCGCGGAUUCGACGUGCCACCACAACCACACCUCAACCGGGGAUACGACGGGCCACCACCACCACCACCACACCUCAACGGCGGAUACUACGGUCCACAACAACCACACCUCAACGGCGGAUACUACGGGCCACCGAUUCCUCCGCCGCCGCCUAAACCCAAGCGCCGAUACAAAGCCCCCGGAUGCUGCUGCUUGAGCUGCAUGUGCAGCUGCUUCGGAAGC
rnacentral:lncRNA from 1 species